CAGCCGCCGCGGUAAUACAGAGGAUGCAAGCGUUAUCCGGAAUGAUUGGGCGUAAAGCGUCUGUAGGUGGCUUUUCAAGUCCGCCGUCAAAUCCCAGGGCUCAACCCUGGACAGGCGGUGGAAACUACCAAGCUGGAGUACGGUAGGGGCAGAGGGAAUUUCCAGUGGAGCGGUGAAAUGCGUUGAGAUCUAAAAGAACACCAACAGCGAAAGCACUCUGCUGGGACGACACUGACACUAAGAGACGAAAGCUAGGGGAGCAAAUGGGAUUAGAUACCCCGGUAGUCCCUGUCUCUUAUAC
rnacentral:rRNA from 1 species